CGCGCCCUACGGGACGCAGCAGUGGGGAAUAUUGGGCAAUGGACGCAAGUCUGACCCAGCAACGCCUCGUGAAGGAAGAAGGCUUUCGGGGUGUAAACUUCUUUUAAGGGGGAAGAGCAGAAGACGGUACCCCUUGAAUAAGCCACGGCUAACUACGUGCCAGCAGCCGCGGUAAUACGUAGGUGGCAAGCGUUGUCCGGAUUUACUGGGUGUAAAGGGCGUGCAGCCGGAGAGACAAGUCAGAUGUGAAAUCCACGGGC
rnacentral:rRNA from 1 species